AUUUAACGGCCGCGGUAUUUUGACCGUGCAAAGGUAGCGCAAUCACUUGUCUUUUAAAUGAAGACCCGUAUGAAUGGUUAAACGAGGGCUUAACUGUCUCCCUUCUCCAGUCAAUGAAAUUGAUUUACCCGUGCAGAAGCGGGUAUAAACUUACAAGACGAGAAGACCCUUUGGAGCUUAAGACAAAAGAUCACUUAUGUUAAGUAAAAAAAAUAAAACUAAAUAAUCCUUGAUCAUAGUCUUCGGUUGGGGCGACCGCGGGAUAAAAUAAAACUCCCGCAAGGACUGAAGAAACCCUUUAAAACCAAGAAAGACAUUUCUAAGUCACAGAAUUUCUGACCACAAAGAUCCGGCCACGCCGAUCAACGAACCAAGUUACCCUAGGGAUAACAGCGCAAUCCCCUUUUAGAGUUCCUAUCGACAAGGGGGUUUACGACCUCGAUGUUGGAUCAGGACAUCCUAAUGGUGCAGUCGCUAUUAAGGGUUCGUUUGUUCAACGAAUUAAAG
rnacentral:rRNA from 1 species